rnacentral:RNase_P_RNA from 1 species
AGAGUCAACUAGGCAAUCGCUGUAUUCUUCANGAUAGAAGUUUUCAGAGGAAAGUCCGGGCUCCUUCGGAUAGGGUGCCAGGUAACACCUGGAGGGUGNGAACCCAUGGAAAGUGCCACAGAAAAUAUACCGCCAAGCUUUGCUGGUAAGGGUGAAAUGGUGCGGUAAGAGCGCACCGCGUGAAUGGUGACAUUUCGCGGCAAGGUAAACCCCACCUGGAGCAAGACCAAAUAGAGGAGUNUACGAUAUUAAUCGUAUUGUGAAUCCGAGCAAACUCCUGGGUAGGUUGCUAAAGACAUUCGGUGACGAAUGUAUCAGAUGAAUGGUUGCCCAAGACAGAACCCGGCUUAUAGUUGACUCUUGCU